AGUGAACGCUGGCGGUAGGCCUAACACAUGCAAGUCGAACGGCAGCACAGUAAGAGCUUGCUCUUACGGGUGGCGAGUGGCGGACGGGUGAGGAAUACAUCGGAAUCUACUUUUUCGUGGGGGAUAACGUAGGGAAACUUACGCUAAUACCGCAUACGACCUACGGGUGAAAGCAGGGGAUCUUCGGACCUUGCGCGAUUGAAUGAGCCGAUGUCGGAUUAGCUAGUUUGGCGGGGUAAAGGCCCACCAAGGCGACGAUCCGUAGCUGGUCUGAGAGGAUGAUCAGCCACACUGGAACUGAGACACGGUCCAGACUCCUACGGGAGGCAGCAGUGGGGAAUAUUGGACAAUGGGCGCAAGCCUGAUCCAGCCAUACCGCGUGGGUGAAGAAGGCCUUCGGGUUGUAAAGCCCUUUUGUUGGGAAAGAAAAGCAGCAGGUUAAUACCCCGCUGUUCUGACGGUACCCAAAGAAUAAGCACCGGCUAACUUCGUG
rnacentral:rRNA from 1 species